rnacentral:rRNA from 1 species
UUAUACAACGUAUACUAAUUAAUAAUUUUGGUUAAUUUGUAGUUAUUUUAUUUUUGAUUAUAUUCUUUGGAUUUUUAGGUGAAAUUUAAUUUUUAUUUAUAUUUUUAUUAUAAAUUCUACUAAAUACAUAAUAUAAAUUAGGAUUAGAUACCCUAUUAUUUUGUACGUUAAUUUUUUGCUAGGGUAGUAAUUUAUUAUUUUUUUAAAACCUAAAGAAUUUGGCGGUGUUUUAUUCUAUUUAGAGGAACUUGUCCCGUUAUCGAUAAUCCUCGUUUUAUCUUACUUUUACUUGUAUUUCAGUAUGUAUACCGCCGUUAUAAGUUUAUUUUAUAAGAUUGUUAAUUUACUUAUUAUUUAAUAAUAUUGUAUUUCA